rnacentral:misc_RNA from 1 species
AAGUCGUAACAAGGUUUCCGUAGGUGAACCUGCGGAAGGAUCAUUAACACGUAUCCAAACGUUAAACCCCCCCCGUGAACCUUCAUCGUGCUCUAGUGGGCCACUGAUAAACACAGCAAUUCCUGGUAAAUCAUUGUCUGAACAAGCCUUUGAGUCAGGAACCUCUGUGCAGUGCGAGCUACACCCACUAUAGAAGCGCUAGUUCCAUCGGCAUUGUUUCCCCAAGCAGCCAGUGCGUGAAAGUGGCAACUGACUGUGCAGCUUUGCCAAAGGGUCCCCAUGCCCUUCCUUCUGCCGAUUUCACAUACAAAGCUCCAUUUUCAAUUAUGGAUGGGCUAAAACCGAACAACUGUUAACAAUUCAUAUCUUGGUUCUC